rnacentral:rRNA from 1 species
CACCGGAAUAGCUCCUGGAAACGGGUGGUAAUGCCGGAUGCUCCAUCACACCGCAUGGUGUGUUGGGAAAGCCUUUGCGGCAUGGGAUGGGGUCGCGUCCUAUCAGCUUGAUGGCGGGGUAACGGCCCACCAUGGCUUCGACGGGUAGCCGGCCUGAGAGGGCGACCGGCCACAUUGGGACUGAGAUACGGCCCAGACUCCUACGGGAGGCAGCAGUGGGGAAUAUUGCACAAUGGGCGCAAGCCUGAUGCAGCGACGCCGCGUGAGGGAUGGAGGCCUUCGGGUUGUAAACCUCUUUUGUUAGGGAGCAAGGCACUUUGUGUUGAGUGUACCUUUCGAAUAAGCACCGGCUAACUACGUGCCAGCAGCCGCGGUAAUACGUAGGGUGCAAGCGUUAUCCGGAAUUAUUGGGCGUAAAGGGCUCGUAGGCGGUUCGUCGCGUCCGGUGUGAAAGUCCAUCGCUUAACGGUGGAUCCGCGCCGGGUACGGGCGGGCUUGAGUGCGGUAGGGGAGACUGGAAUUCCCGGUGUAACGGUGGAAUGUGUAGAUAUCGGGAAGAACACCAAUGGCGAAGGCAGGUCUCUGGGCCGUUACUGACGCUGAGGAGCGAAAGCGUGGGGAGCGAACAGGAUUAGAUACCCUGGUAGUCCACGCCGUAAACGGUGGAUGCUGGAUGUGGGGCCCGUUCCACGGGUUCCGUGUCGGAGCUAACGCGUUAAGCAUCCCGCCUGGGGAGUACGGCCGCAAGGCUAAAACUCAAAGAAAUUGACGGGGGCCCGCACAAGCGGCGGAGCAUGCGGAUUAAUUCGAUGCAACGCGAAGAACCUUACCUGGGCUUGACAUGUUCCCGACGAUCCCAGAGAUGGGGUUUCCCUUCGGGGCGGGUUCACAGGUGGUGCAUGGUCGUCGUCAGCUCGUGUCGUGAGAUGUUGGGUUAAGUCCCGCAACGAGCGCAACCCUCGCCCCGUGUUGCCAGCGGAUUGUGCCGGGAACUCACGGGGGACCGCCGGGGUUAACUCGGAGGAAGGUGGGGAUGACGUCAGAUCAUCAUGCCCCUUACGUCCAGGGCUUCACGCAUGCUACAAUGGCCGGUACAACGGGAUGCGACAGUGCGAGCUGGAGCGGAUCCCUGAAAACC